UAUAUUGAGCUGGGCCACGUUGCGUUUGUGUGAGCGGUGAGAGUGCUCGUUGCAGUUACACGGUAAUUGAAUCAUAUUUUGGAAGUGCCUAAACAAAGUGUGAUCCGUAUCGUGUGCAUUAACCAUCAGGAAACCUCUGGAUUCGUGUAACGCCAUUAGUUCGCCUUAUAUUUCCUGUGAUACGCCGGUGUCUUACGUGUACUACAGCGCCCGUCCGAGCUGCCUUUGUUCUCGCCUGUCCGCGUUCGCUCGUGAAAUAUCUGGUACUGUGGCUUCGAAUUAUAGUGCGUGGAAGAGUUUGUUGAAAGUUGUGCUUUUGUGCGGUGGUGUUCAUCGGCAAUUCGACAGUGUUCGUGCUGGAAAGAGCGUCGUCGCGUGGUGCCUGCGAGACGAAGGAGCGCUUGCUGUUCACAUCUUGAAGGUUAUGCGGAUUCUGGAGUCAAGCCUACGACCUGUAGGAACCUGCUGCACUGCUACAUAUUGGAUCGCACAACGAUGCACUUGACCUGCAUGCUUUUACAAGGUGCCCUGUGAGCUCUCAUCCAAGCACCGCAUUGCAGAGAUCUGCUGUGAGCAGACGUGGCAAAUUGAAGUAACAUACAGAUAGUCCAAUAAAAUACUCGUAAUUUCAGACAAACCUUUACAAAGUACAGUGAAAACUUUCUUUUAAAAGUACAAACACCAAUACAGCGUGAUCUUUCCAUCCAAACAUUACAUUUUAUAUUAGUAAGAAAGACAUAACUAGAACAGCAGCAGCA